AAAUAGAACUUUGCAGAGAGAGUUAACAGGGCGUGAAACCGUUAAUUGAGAAACGAAUCGGAGCCACGAAGUCGUUUCGUUGUUUAGUUAAUCGGGGUUCAGGGUAGGCCGAGAGGUUUGCUUGUAUUCCCGCGACUAACCAUUGUAAGCGUACACUGCAACCAGUUAGACGAUUGGCCAUGGGCCCAGCCUGUCCGAGUUAGUAGUAGCGUUGUGCGCCUCGGUGCAUUUAUGUUGCUGGACUCGCGGCAAGUGAACUAUGGCCAAAUACUGACUGGCAAAAUGAAAAUCGUCCCUAUGGGCGUAAUACAAACUGCGACCAACCGGCUGGGCGUCUACACAGUGGACUGCCAGGUUUAAGCUUGGCAUUCUUGAAUUCAGACUUGCUUGCUACCAGUGGGGCAACUCCUGGUGCUUGUAUAGCUUCUGUCUAAUCGGGUGUCGACUUGGCCUGACAUCGUUCCGCUGUGAAGCGAUUGGGCGUCCAAACGAGCUGGCCCGCUAGAAUUGGCAGUGAGUAGGUCGGCUUUCCGAACGACCCGUCUUGAAACACGGACCAAGGAGUCUAAUUAGGUAUCGAGUCGAUCGGUCUUGAAUAGGCCAGACUGGGGGGUUCCCCCCGAAUGAAGGCGAAGAGACAAUCGUGUCAUCGCGCGCCAAUACCAGGCCACCCGCGCAACAUGUGCCUGUUCGUAUGGCAAUGUAGCAAUGAUUGCCGAGCGGAGCAAAGAGAUACCUGAUUGGUACCCGAAAGAUGGUGAUGCCUGGGCAAAUUGAAGCCAGAGGAAACUCUGGUGGAGGAUUGUAGCGAUUCUGACGUGCAAAUCGAUCGUCAGACCUGGGUAUAGGGGCGAAAGACUAAUCGAACCAUC
rnacentral:rRNA from 1 species